rnacentral:lncRNA from 1 species
UGAUUACAAGUCUAUAUAAUAGGAUUACAAUUAAAGAAAGAAUAAAAUACUGGCAAGGGAAAUCAGUUCCACUAAUCUAGUAGAGUCAGUCCAUUAGUCUAGUCUAUACAGUAGGAAAUAAAAUCAACUAAAUAAGGAGAGAAUUAUAAUAGGAUUACAAUUAAAGAAACAAUAAAAUACUCUGAUAAUUUUGUGCAAAGAAUAAAAUACUCUGAUAAUUUUGUGCUCUAUCAUACCCCCGCAAGCGUAAGGGUCCCAGAAGGACACUAAGCUUGGACCAAUAAGUUUGGAACUGCUUCCAAGCUAAAGGUUUAGUGAGAGAGUCAGCAAGUUGAUCUGUAUUACGGACAUGUGAAAUGUGAAGUAACUUGUGAGAAACUUGAUCAUGCACAAAAUGAAAGUCAAUGACAAUGUGUUUCAUACACGAGUGAAAAAUAGGGUUGGAGCAUAAGUAAGUGGCACCAACAUUGUCAUGGUAAAUUGUUGGAGGAGCUGGGAUUGAUACAACUAGUUCUCGUAGCAAGUUAGUGAGCCAAUUCACCUCAACAGUAGCAGCAGCAAUAGCACAAUAUUCGGCCUCGAUUGAAGAGCGGGCUAUAGUAGAUUGUUUCUUAGAGCUCCAACUAAUAGGAUUGGAGCCAAGAAAUACAACAUAAGUAGAUGUAGUGUGAUGUGUAUCAACAUCACCACUCGAGUUGGCAUCGGCAAAGGCAUGAAGUGCGAGGGGAUUGAGCUGAAAUGAAGACACCAUAAUGAGGGGUUCUUUUGAGAUAGCGAAGAACUCAUUUAAUAGCAAAGCCAACGAUUGGAGGUUGGUUUGUACAUGAAUUGAGCCAACUUGUUAACGACAUAGCUAACAUCAGGCCGUGUAAGAGAAAGAUACUGAAGUGAGCCAAGCACCUGACGAUAAUCAGUUGGAUCAUGUCAUGGGAACCAUCAUCAAGUUUGAGCGUUUCUAAAAUGGACCGUUGGAUACUAACUUCCUUGGCCUUUUGCAUAUUAGUUCGUUGAAAAAGCUCUAGAAUAUACUUUCUUUGAGAUAGGAACAAACCAUUGGAGGUCCGAGCUGUUUCAACACCUAAGAAGUAGCUAAGUUUGUCGAGAUCUUUGAGAGAGAACCUGUUAGAUAGCUCACUAGUGAAAUAUUGAAGAGUUGGAGGAUGAUUACUGGUAAGUAUAAUGUCGUCCACAUACGCAAGCAAGCACAUAAUGAUAGUUCCCGAAUUGUAGAUAAAGAGAGAGGUAUCACUCUUUGAAUUGAUAAAUCCAUAUGCAAGAAGAAAGGAGUGAAGUUCAUUGUACCAUGCCCGAGGAGUGAUUGCUUUAUGUAAUUUGAAAACAUGAGAAGGAUAUUGAAUGUCAACAAAUCCUUGAGGUUGUUGCAUGUAAACACAUUCAGAUAGAGUGCCUUGUAGGAAUGCAUUAUUAACAUCCAAUUGAUUCAAAACCCAACCACGAGUUAUGGCAAUAGUUAGAAGAAUGUGAAUUGUGGCUGGUUUAAUCACUAGGCUAAAAGUUUCUGUAAAGUCAAUUUUGAGUCGUUGAUGAAACCCUUUUGCCACAAGACGAGCUUUAUAACGAGCAACAGAGCCAUUUAGGUUCCUUUUGAUUUGAUAGACCCAUUUACAC